GGGGACGUUCUUGGAUUCGACAGGGGUCCCCGAGCUUAUUAAGCGUGUCGGAGGGUUGGCUCCGUCAUCAACACAUUUCGGUUAAAUAUAACUGACAAAUCAAACAAUAAUUUCGCAGUAGCUGCGUAAUAGCCACUGCAUCGCCUAACAGCAUCUCCUACGUGCUGUUAACGCGAUUCAACCCUAGUAGGAUAUGCUAAACACUGCCGCUUGAAGUCUGUUUAGAUGAAAUAUAAUCAAGCUAGUAUCAUGUUGGUUGUU
rnacentral:tmRNA from 1 species